rnacentral:rRNA from 2 species
UAGGGAAUCUUCGGCAAUGGGGGGAACCCUGACCGAGCAACGCCGCGUGAGUGAAGAAGGUUUUCGGAUCGUAAAGCUCUGUUGUUAAGGAAGAACGAGUGUGAGAAUGGAAAGUUCAUGCUGUGACGGUACUUAACCAGAAAGGGACGGCUAACUACGUGCCAGCAGCCGCGGUAAUACGUAGGUCCCGAGCGUUGUCCGGAUUUAUUGGGCGUAAAGCGAGCGCAGGCGGUUAGAAAAGUCUGAAGUGAAAGGCAGUGGCUCAACCAUUGUAGGCUUUGGAAACUGUUUAACUUGAGUGCAGAAGGGGAGAGUGGAAUUCCAUGUGUAGCGGUGAAAUGCGUAGAUAUAUGUAGGAACACCGGUGGCGAAAGCGGCUCUCUGGUCUGUAACUGACGCUGAGGCUCGAAAGCGUGGGGAGCGAACAGG